GCACUGCUAAGGAGUGCCACAAUAGGACGAAACGGCCGUCAAGUGC
rfam:Schistosoma margrebowiei strain Zambia genome assembly, scaffold: SMRZ_contig0000399